AGCCAACUGGUGUAAGUACAAUGU
rnacentral:siRNA from 1 species